rnacentral:rRNA from 1 species
AUACAUAGGGGGCAAGCGUUAUCCGGAAUUAUUGGGCGUAAAGGGUGCGUAGGCGGUCUAUUAAGUCUGAGGUGUAAGUGCAGGGAUCAACCCUGUGAUGCUUUAGAAACUGGUAGACUUGAGUGAGAUAGAGGCAAGUGGAAUUCCAUGUGUAGCGGUAAAAUGCGUAAAUAUAUGGAGGAACACCAGUGGCGAAGGCGGCUUGCUGGGUCUAUACUGACGCUGAGGCACGAAAGCGUGGGGAGCAAACAGGAUUAGAUACCCUGGUAGUCCACGCCGUAAACGAUGAGUACUAAGUGUGGCGAGAACGCAGUGCUGAAGUUAACAUAUUAAGUACUCCGCCUGA